UACGGGGGGGUGCGAGCGUUGUCCGGAAUCACUGGGCGUAAAGGGCGCGUAGGUGGUUUGAUAAGGGUGUGGUGAAAGUCCGGAGCUCAACUCCGGAUCUGCCGUGCCGACUGUCAAAACUCGAGGGCUGUAGAGGCAGACGGAAUUCCGGGUGUAGCGGUGGAAAUGCGCAGAUAUCAGGAGGAACACCGGUGGCGAAGGCGGUUCUCUGGGCAUGUCCUGACGCUGAGGAGCGAAAGUGUGGGGAGCGAACAGG
rnacentral:rRNA from 1 species